rnacentral:rRNA from 1 species
GACGAACGCUGGCGGCGUGCUUAACACAUGCAAGUCGAACGGAAAGGCCUGCUUUCCCUUGUGGAUUGCGGGUACUCGAGUGGCGAACGGGUGAGUAACACGUGAGUGAUCUGCCCCCAACUUGGGUAUAAGCCUGGGAAACUGGGUCUAAUUCCCGAUAGGACUGCAGGGUGGUGCCUGUGGUGGAAAACGAUUUUCUAGUGGUUGGGGAUGAGCUCGCGGCCUAUCAGCUUGUUGGUGGGGUAAUGGCCUACCAAGGCGGCGACGGGUAGCCGGCCUGAGAGGGUGGACGGCCACAUUGGGACUGAGAUACGGCCCAGACUCCUACGGGAGGCAGCAGUGGGGAAUAUUGCACAAUGGGCGGAAGCCUGAUGCAGCGACGCCGCGUGGGGGAUGACGGCCUUCGGGUUGUAAACUCCUUUCGACCGCGAGGAAGCCACCUGGUUGGAAGGGUGGUGACGGUAGUGGUAGGAGAAGCACCGGCUAACUACGUG